rnacentral:miRNA from 1 species
CUAAGAGCUCUCUGGAAGAUA